UUUACAUUACAGCCUAGUGAUAACUUCACUGGCCACUCCUUAGAUGGCUGUUAGAGAUCCUUCCUGGGUCAUGGCUGCCUAAAAUGCAUCCAAACGUUCAGUGUCUCCUCCCUCUGCAUGCAGACACUGAACUUUCCUCAUAGAGAUUAAUUUAUUCAAUUUAUCUCUGAGGAGAUGCUGAUUGGCCAGGGCUGUGUUUGAAUCAUGCUGGCUCUUCCC